ensembl:snRNA U2 U2 spliceosomal RNA
AUCACUUCUCAGCCUUUUGGCUAAGAUCAAGUGCAGUAUCUGUUCUUAUCAGUUUAAUAAAGUCAAGAAGUCAACAGUGUGUACCCAGAGGAUCUCACAAGAACUUGACCCUAC